rnacentral:rRNA from 1 species
UACGUAGGGACCAAGCGUUGUUCGGAUUUACUGGGCGUAAAGGGCGCGUAGGCGGCGUGACAAGUCACUUGUGAAAUCUCUGGGCUUAACCCAGAACGGCCAAGUGAAACUGUUGUGCUAGAGUGCAGAAGGGGCAAUCGGAAUUCUCGGUGUAGCGGUGAAAUGACGCAGAUAUCGGGAGGAACACCGGUGGCGAAGGCGGUUCUCUGGGCCUGACCUGGACGCUGAGGAGCGAAAGCGUGGGGAGCGAAUAGG